rnacentral:rRNA from 1 species
UGGGGAAUAUUGGACAAUGGGGGAAACCCUGAUCCAGCAAUGCCGCGUGUGCGAUGAAGGCCUGAGGGUUGUAAAGCACUUUCGUUGGGGAGGAAAUACUCAAAGCUAAUACCUUUGAGAGCUGACGUUACCCAAAGAAGAAGCACCGGCAAACUCUGUGCCAGCAGCCGCGGUAAUACAGAGGGUGCAAGCGUUAAUCGGAGUUACUGGGCGUAAAGGGCGCGUAGGCUGAUGUUUAAGUUAAUUGUGAAAUCCCUGGGCUGAACCUAGGAAUUGCAGUUAAUACGGGACAUCUAGAGUAUGGUAGAGGAAAGUGGAAUUCUCGGUGUAGUGGUUAAAUACGUAGAUAUCGAGAAGAACACCGGUGGCGAAGGCGACUUUCUGGACCAAUACUGACGCUGAGGCGCGAAAGCGUGGGGAGCAAACA